ensembl:lncRNA
AUGUACAGCAUGUUGCUAAGGAAACACUGGGCCAGACAGCAUGUAAACGUAUAUGAAAUGGUGGAGGUCCUUGUUGUAACGUAUAUGAAAUGGCGAAGGUCCUUGUUGUUGCUUAGGAAACACUGGGCCAGAGAGCAUGUAAACGUAUAUGAAAUGGUGGAGGUCCUUGUUGUAACGUAUAUGAAAUGGCAAAGGUCCUUGUUGUUGCUUAGGAAACACUGGGCCAGACAGCAUGUAAACGUAUAUGAAAUGGCGGAGGUCCUUGUUGUUUGCUUAGGCAAAACUGGGCCAGACAGCAUGUUGUUGAAACCAUCACUGCUAGCCAGCCAGCUAUGUGAUUAUAAUAGGAUGAUUUGCUUGAAUUUUGGCUAUUGUUAUUGUGGUAAAAGUCAUAGUCAAAAUUAAAGCUCCAUUAACUUGUAAAUAGGGUAGAUACAUAGAAAUGUAAGGCAUCAAGAAGAAAAAAAAGACUACUAUAUUAUGGCCAUCAUUCUAGCUAAGUAAGUCUAUGUGCCAUAUAAAGGAGAAGAAAAAAAGCUAAAUGUAUAUUAGUCAAGAUAAUAGAGACUGUGUGUUGUGUGUUGCAUUUCCGGCUCCUCAAUGUAUUUGUAAAAAGUAAUGCUGUCUGUUUGGUCUCUGGUUUGCUGAUGUGUUUUGACUUUCCUUUCAAAGGUAAUUAUUAUAAUAAUAAUGAUAAUAAUAGGUCUCUGAUGUGUGCUCUGAGCGAGAACAAUAGCAUGGUUUAUUGAUAAGAAGAAAAAAAAAAACAAGAGUUAUAUGAUAUAUAUAUAUAUAUAUAUAUAUUAGCUGGUUGCAAACAUUUCUGCAACAUCAUCGAUUCUAUAGACAUUGUGUUCAUGUUUUCAACAAACAAACUUUGUAGGUUCACUUUUUAUUGCACUAAAUUUCUAUGCUAUGAAACAUGGCUUUGUCACAAACCUUAUAACGGACACAUGUCACGAGGGAAUGACGAAAUGAAGGCCCGCAACAACAACAACAACAACAAACACAACAAAAAAAAAAAUAUUUUUUAUGAUCUAAGAAAGAAUUGUCAUGUAGAAAAUGACUACUGUAAUUGUCAUGUAGCAAAAAAAACAAAAAAAAAGUGCAUUAAUAAUGAUCUCAGUGAGAUUUACUCAUUCUCAUCCACGAGAAUAUAAUCUAAGCGUUAAGGAAAAAUUAAAUGUUUAAAAUGAAUUUUUUUUUUUUAAAUGUUUAAAAACCUACAUGUUUCAUUAUGUUAAAAAAUGACUGUAGUACGUAGGCGUGCACGUGUUCAUGAUUUCUAUCCUACUACUUUGAAUUGUUAGGUGCCUCCAAAAUGGCACCCUAUUCCCUAUAUAGUACACUACUUUUUACCUGGUCAGAACUGUAGUAGUGCACUAUAUAGGGAAUAGGGUGCCUUUUCGAACGCACACUUAUUAAGGUAACCACUGUCUGCUGUGGUAAGGGCUGGCUCUGUGUACCUGACUGGUAGUGCUACUGUAAUACCUGACUGGCAGUGUUACUGUAGUACCUGACUGGCAGUGUUACUGUAGUACCUGACUGACAGUGUUACUGUAAUACCUGACUGGCAGUGUUACUGUAGUACCUGACUGACAGUGUUACUGUAGUACCUGACUGGCAGUGUUACUGUAGUACCUGACUGACAGUGUUACUGUAGUACCUGACUGGCAGUGUUUACGGUUGGUACCCUGACGGACAGAUGGUACGUGUAGGUACCGUACUGCAGUUUUUACUGUAGUACCUGACUGCAGGGUUACGUGUGUAGUACCUGACUGGCAGUUUUACUGUAGUACCUGACUGGCAGUGUUACUGGCAGUACCAUGACGCAUGGUGACUGUAAUACCUGACUGCAGUGUUACUGUAUACCUGACUGCAGUGUUUACUGUAGUACCUGACGGACAGUGUUACUGUAGUACCUGACUGGCAGUGUUACUGUAGUACCUGACUGACAGUGUUUACUGUAGUACCUGACUGGCA